CCGGCGGCUGCGCAUCCCCUGUCGUGGCUCAGCUCCCGAGGACUGAGGACGCCCCUCUGGCUCACGCCUGGGACCCGCGAGGACACCGUGACCCACCUUGGUCCUGGACACACAAGCACCACCCUAGCCCUUAGGCAGCGGGACGGCCCCUCUCCUGAAUGCCCAGCCGGACCCACGCCCACCUCCACAGCACAACUCCCUCUUCCUCCUCCUCCCCAGAGGCCGACGGGCUCUCCCCUAAGACCAAGUCCAGUUUGGACUUGCGUGGCUGUUCCUUCUACCUGGACAUUGCCCCAGAGCACUGCAUGACAAACUUCUCACCACUCAGUUCGCUCCCAAAAGGUCACCUUCCGGAGAAGCUCUUCCCGAAUGCUCCACCAAACUGCCUCCCCUCUCCAUCACUACUUUUCUAUUUCAUUCUGAUCAGGUAGCUCUUAGAGCUGGCUGAAAUUGAUUUGCAUAUUUGUUUUCUUGUUUACAUGGUUCUACAUACACAUUGUAAAGUUCAUUCUAAACAGGCAGGAACUACAUCUGUCUAUCUUGGGUUGAUGCAAAUUUUCUUUCUAGUAAUGAUGGGGGGAGGGGAAGCCCAGUACCAAAAGGAGCUGGAUACAAGUUUGUUGAAAGAAUGAAGGAACACAGGUUUCCUGCCUUUGGGGCUCUAGGUCUGAGUAAACCCAGCUUUCUCCUUGCCGUGUGUGUGUGUGUGUGUGUGUGUGUCUUUCUGUCUGUCUGGGGCUUGAACCCAGGGCUCACUCAUGCAGGGCAAGCUCUCUACCACUGAAGUACAUGCCCAGCUCAGCCCUUCAGCUCUUUUAUAAAUUUGACUUUUGGGCAGUAUUUCACUAAAUUGCCCUGGGCUGGCCUCAAAUUUGUAAUCCUCCUGAUUUCAGCCUCCAGAGUACCUGGGAUUACCGGCAAAUGGUGUUCCUAGCACCUUGGCCUCCAUGCAUCUCUUGCCAGUUAGUAAUUAAAUGAGCAAAUGGCAAAGACUUUAAAAGUUGCUCAAGUGUCUAAACUCACUGGAUAUUUUUCUACCUAAGAGCCCAGGAAAAGGCUAAGGAGACUUGAGGAAGGAACUGCCUCAGCACCUGCCUCCUUCCCUGGAGGGCUCAGGGGGAGGAGCAGCAGGAAAUUCUUGGUGUUGGGGACAAACACCCAAAAGCAUGUUCCUGCCAGGCUUGGUGGCAUCUGCCUAUAAUCCCAGUGAUUCAAGAGGCUGAGACAAGAGAAUGGCAAAUUGGUUGUCAGUGUGGGCAAUUUAGUGAGACUCUGUCUCAACAUAAAAAUAAAAAUUCCUGGGUUUAUAGAUUAGUGGUAGAGCACUGUGGAUUCAAUCCCCAAUACAAAAAAAUCAAUAAAAUAAA
rnacentral:lncRNA from 1 species